CAUAUCAUCUUAUGUCACGGCGUUGGUUUUCCCAUGCUUCUCCUACUCUUUUCAAUGCAAGGACACCAAGGCCUCAAUUGAGUAGAGGCUUCCAUGUGUGCAUGAUAGAGGACAAUAUUGAAGGAAUAUACGACACUUUGAAGGAGUGUGCUGUUAUUAGUAAAUCUGCUGGAGGAAUUGGAGUUUCUGUACACAACAUCGAUGCCACUAGUCUUAGCUUUGAAGGAUCUUUCUCUGGAUGGAACACUGGCUCCUGAAAUUUGUAAUCUUUUGUACACGAAGUUGAUAUAGUGUCACUGGGUAGGAGAAAGUUCAGCACAGAUUUUCAGACUGCUAAAGGCGUUGAUGUUCUUUGGAUUUAUAGUGACGGUUAGCAUCCUCUUUAUGUUUGUGAAUCUUAAAGUUGGUGACAUCUUUGCGAGCAAAGAGCACAACAGCUGAUCCAAAUGCAUUGAUUGAUGAAUGGAGAAUACACAAGAAGCAAGUUAUGGCUUCAUGACCUUGCUGGAAGUGAGAGAUUAGCCAAGCCAGACGUUUAAGGAGAUCCGCUGAAAGAAACUCAAAUUAUUAACAGAUCCUUAUCUGCACUGGGAGGUGUGAUAGCAGCGCUGGCGACCAAAAUCCCACAUAUUCCUUUCAGGAAUUCAAAGCUCACUCACUUGCUCCAAGAUUCUCUAGGGUGACAAUUGCUUUUCAAUAAAGAAACAACUUGUAACAUACAGAAGCAGCUGUAAACUGGAGAAUGUGGAC